rnacentral:rRNA from 1 species
GACGAACGCUGGCGGCGUGCUUAACACAUGCAAGUCGAACGGAAAGGCCCUGCUUUUGUGGGGUGCUCGAGUGGCGAACGGGUGAGUAACACGUGAGUAACCUGCCCUUGACUUUGGUAUAACUUCAGGAAACUGGGGCUAAUACCGUAUAGGAGCUCCUGCUGCAUGGUGGGGGUUGGAUAGUUUCGGCGGUUGGGGAUGGACUCGCGGCUUAUCAGCUUGUUGGUGGGGUAGUGGCUUACCAAGGCUUUGACGGGUAGCCGGCCUGAGAGGGUGACCGGCCACAUUGGGACUGAGAUACGGACCAGACUCCUACGGGAGGCAGCAGUGGGGAAUAUUGCACAAUGGGAGGAAGCCUGAUGAAGCAACGCCGCGUGCGGGAUGACGGCCUUCGGGUUGUAAACCGCUUUCGCCUGUGACGAAGCGUGAGUGACGGUAAUGGGUAAAGAAGCACCGGCUAACUACGUG